GACUCAGACCAUAUUGAUUUUAUUGAAUAUGUAUGUGGGUUCUACCACUGAUGUAACAUGUUCAUAUGUUCACAUAUGUUACACGCAUACAUAUAUAUGACACAUGUGUAGCAUCAGAGUUGUCAACAAGAGAAGGCUUUUUUUGGUUACAUAAGGGUAGCUAUAAUUCGGGGGAAAUCGUUAUUUUAUUUUUCGAAGAAGGUUGAGGAUGGUCUACUGUGUGUGUUAUCUGAAGGGAACACGACUUUCUUUACCACGGUGGUAUGAUUGCCGUACUCUCUCUUUGUUCCGCCCGCUGACUUAUUGGAAUAGCAACCUUCAAGCCUUUUUUAGAGAUAAUUCUGUCUCGGACCCAAAAGCGCUGACAAU
rnacentral:lncRNA from 1 species